AGGAAUAUAGCUCAUGUUAGAGCACUUGCCUGGCAUGUAUGAGGCCCUGGGUUCAAAUCCCAGCACUACCA
rnacentral:tRNA from 1 species